rnacentral:lncRNA from 1 species
UUUGAAGAAAUCAUACAAAUAUAAUCACACACAGAUUAGGUAGAGCCAUUACUACAAUCACCUGAAGAAAUAUAUUAUUUCUCUUACUCAUGGGUUUAAUUUCAGUCUCUUAUUUUGAACUAACUGAGCAGUGUGGUGUCAUACAAUGGACAGGGUGGGGGAAACCGAAGCUUGGAAUCUCCAGCCUGCUAGCUCAGGUCUCCUGUUGCAAUGUUGCCCUUAACCUCGCUGGACAUCAACUACACCAGAAGAGCAUUGGCUAUGAUCACUGGAGUGGCUCCCACUUCAGCUUUGCUGAGGGACCUCAGUUUGACACAGUGUGAAAAGAUGUUAAGAAGGUUCUGUGCAAGUAUAUGUGGAGGAAAAAAAAGAGAAACAAGGAGCUGAAUUUUCACUCAAUGCAGCCCCCCUUGCUUAAAGAAAUAACUGCAGUACAGAUUUUAACAAUUAACAUUCCUGCAGUGGAUGUCGUUAUGGAUGGAGCUAAUAAAUGUUUUCAAACACUCCUCUGCGCA